CAGAAAAACCUGGGGUCAAUAAAGGCUUCUAACCCAAAUUGGAUAGGUUCGAUCCCUAUCUUUUCUCU
rnacentral:tRNA from 1 species